GACGAACGCUGGCGGCGUGCUUAACACAUGCAAGUCGAACGGAAAGGCCCUGCUUGCAGGGUGCUCGAGUGGCGAACGGGUGAGUAACACGUGGGUGAUCUGCCCCUUAUUUUGGGAUAAGCCUGGGACACUGGGUCUAAUACUGGAUAGGACCAUGCUGUAGGUGGUGUGGUGGAAAGAUUAGUUUCGGUAAGGGAUGAGCUCGCGGCCUAUCAGCUUGUUGGUGGGGUAAUGGCCUACCAAGGCGUCGACGGGUAGCCGGCCUGAGAGGGUGGACGGCAACAUUGGGACUGAGAUACGGCGCAGACUCCUACGGGAGGCAGCAGUGGGGAAUAUUGCACAAUAGGCGCAAGCCGGAUGCAGCGACGCCGCGUGGGGGAUGACGGCCUUCGGGUUGUAAACUCCUUUGAGCCAUGACGAAGCCCUCGUGGUGACGGUAGUGGUAGAAGAAGCACCGGCUAACUACGUG
rnacentral:rRNA from 1 species